GCCGGCAGCUAGCUCUCUGCAACUCUCACAGGGAAGCCCACUGAAGCUAAGCAGGGCUGCGCCCAGUCAGUACCCGGAUGGGGGACACCACAUGGGGAAGCUAGGUUGCUGCCUUAA
rnacentral:rRNA from 1 species